GCUGCCUGGGCGGCCGGGCCUGAGGUCGGCCGAGUAAGGCUUCCACGUGACUGCAGCUCGAGCUACCGGAAGUUAGCAGCGCCUCGGAAGAGAACUCUCCGCCCCUCUUGGAGCUUACGCUUUAGAGGGAGAAGGGGAAUAAAUAAUCCCAGAUGAUGUCAGGUGAUCACUAGGGAAGUCUAUUAGGAGGAAGAAAGUUUUUUCCCCCACUUCCUUUGGUAGAGGGGAAGAGGAAGUGUGACCCAGCAGGAGUCCAGGGAAUUCAGGACUAUGGAAUUUCAAACCAGAACCCUUUGGGCACCUCAAUCAAGGAUAGCACCUUGCAGAAUUCAGAGGUCUCCAUGUCAGCAAACUAUGGGAAUGCAAGAAAAGGAAAAUGGUCAGUGUACAAGGCCACCCCAAGUCCACAACACCCAACAAACACAGAAAUAAACAGCAAAAAAGGCAUCAACACUUACACGUGUGGGAUGGUUGUUUUGAAAAUGUCCAACAUGCAAUUGCACGUUUCAUCCCAGACAUCGGGACUGAAUUUCUCUCCAUUGGAAAUUACUAAGUUUUCUAAGCAAUUUGUACCUGAUCGAGCCAGCUGCUCAUUAUCUGCAAAAUAAAAUAACAUCUUUCA